rnacentral:rRNA from 1 species
GUGAGGAAUAUUGGUCAAUGGGCGGAAGCCUGAACCAGCCAAGUCGCGUGAAGGACGAAGGUAUUAUGUAUUGUAAACUUCUUUAGCAGUGGAGAAAUAAGGGAGUCGUGACUCCCGAUGCUAGUACACUGAGAAUAAGGAUCGGCUAACUCCGUGCCAGCAGCCGCGGUAAUACGGAGGAUCCGAGCGUUAUCCGGAUUUAUUGGGUUUAAAGGGUGCGCAGGCGGCCUUGCAAGUCAGCGGUCAAAUCGUGGAGCUCAACUCCAUUCCGCCGUUGAUACUGCCGGGCUUGAUUGCGGUUGAGGUUGGCGGAAUUCGUCGUGUAGCGGUGAAAUGCAUAGAUAUGACGAAGAACCCCGAUUGCGUAGGCAGCUGACCAAUCCGUAAAUGACGCUCAUGCACGAAAGUGCGGGGAUCGAACAGGAUUAGAAACCCUAGUAGUCC